rnacentral:rRNA from 1 species
UACGAAGGGAGCUAGCGUUGUUCGGAAUCACUGGGCGUAAAGCGCACGUAGGCGGAUGUGUCAGUCAGGGGUGAAAUCCCGGAGCUCAACUUCGGAACUGCCUUUGAUACAGCACGUCUUGAGUCCGAUAGAGGUGGGUGGAAUUCCUAGUGUAGAGGUGAAAUUCGUAGAUAUUAGGAAGAACACCGGGUGGCGAAGGC